rnacentral:rRNA from 1 species
AUUGAACGCUGGCGGCAGGCCUAACACAUGCAAGUCGAGCGGAGCGGCGGACGGGUGAGUAAUGCCUAGGAAUCUGACUGGUAGAGGGGGAUAACGUCCGGAAACGAGCGAUAAUAACGCAUACUAUCAGAUGAGCAUAGGUCGGAUUAGCUAGUUGGUGGGGUAAAGGCCUACCAAGGCGACGAACAGUAACUGGUCUGAGAGGAUGAGCAGUCACACGGGAACGGAGACACGGCCAUGACUCCUACGGUAGGCAGCAGGGGGUAAUAGUGCACGAUGGGCGAAAGCUUGAGCCAGCCUUGAAGCGUGUGUGAAGAAGGCCUUAGGAUUGUAAAGCACUUUAAGUUGGGAGGCGUUACAAGAAGAAUAAGCACAGGCUAACCCCGUGCCAGCAGCAGCGGUAAUAC